GGGUUGGACGAAUUAUCCGAAGAGGAUCGCUUAACUGUAGCAAGAGCACGAAAAAUUGAACGUUUCUUAUCACAACCCUUUUUCGUAGCAGAAGUAUUUACCGGUUCUCGGGGGAAAUAUGUCGGUCUAGCAGAAACAAUUAGAGGGUUUAAAUUGAUCCUUUCGGGAGAAUUAGAUAGUCUCCCUGAGCAGGCCUUUUAUUUGGUAGGUAAUAUUGAUGAAGCUACUGCGAAGGCUACGAACUUAGAAAUGGAGAACAACUUGAAGAAAUGACCUUAAAUCUUUGUGUACUGACCCCGAAUCGAAUUGUUUGGGAUUCAGAAGUGAAAGAAAUCAUUUUAUCUACUAAUAGUGGACAAAUUGGCGUAUUACCAAACCAU
rnacentral:misc_RNA from 1 species